GACACUUUGGCCGAGUGGUCUAAGGCGUGUGAUUCGAAUACUCUUAGUACGACUAUCACAUCCCUACGGGGUCGCAAGUUCGAAUCUUGCAGGUGUCG
rnacentral:tRNA from 1 species